AUCGAAGAUCCACUAAAAGUAAAACCCUAACUCCGAGGAAAACUCGCCGACCGAAAGUCAAACCAUAACACUUAUGUGAUCAAAGAUGAACCGUUGGUGUAAAAUUGUAAAAGAAAGGAUAUGCCCAAAUAAAUAGUAAUGUUGGUUGUUCUUUUUGUCUUCGUUUGGAUUAAAAAUGACAAUACUCACCAAAUGCCGUUACAUUCUUUCAUCAUUCUACAAGCAAAAAAAGCCCCAUGAGGUGCCGCAACCGCAGAAAACCCUUUCACCGCCACCGCUGACCGGUGGAGAUACGGUAGCAUCACAAGCGAUGAAGAGAAUUCCUCUAAUCAAGUUUCCAAAACGUCAUCCGAAGCCUUCUGGUUCUGCAACUCAGACGUUAGCAGUGCCUGCUGCAAGAAUGUUUCUUCCACUUUUUUCUCAAGGUCUGCCCCAUCGGAGAAAACUCUCGGUGGGAAAGCCUCUCUUCAACCGAAAAGAACACCAAUGACUCAAGAGGAAAUUGAUGCUAUUUUGUUGGGUGGUUGCUUAUGAAGUUGAUGAAGCGGUUUCAAGAGAGAAGACCGUGUAAGACGUUUCAUUUUAGAUACUUUUACGAAAAAACUGCUUUAUGUUAUGGCAAAUCAAAACCAUGAAAAUAUGGUUGAAUCUUAAUCCACCAUUUUUGACCCUCUACAUAUAUUAUAUAAAACAAACAUGUAUAUAGUUAUUCAUAAUACAUCAAAUUUUAUAAAUUCCCUAAACUUGGGAUGUUACAUAU